rnacentral:lncRNA from 1 species
UUCAGACCAAGAGAUAUAAUGAGUAAUUAACCUCUCAAAAAUCAAAGACGAGUAGAUAAGAAAUUUCAUACCAGUACAGGAAAAUUAAAAAUAAAUAGGAACAUACUAAUACAUACACGUCAUAUAGCACCGGGAGAAAUCCAAAUUUGUAAUGUUCUAAAUACAUAUUGAAAGUAAAGUAGAUUAUAUACCUUGUCUUAAGAUGUCUGCCAUCGUAGAUUUGAUCUUCUAUGGUAUUAAAUCAACAAAUUAUUUUUUGGAGAAGACACAUACACACACGGAGAGAGAGAGAGAGAGAGAUGAAAAUAUAGAAGAUUUUACUUGGGCAGGGGUUUGAUUGGGGGUAUGAAGUGCAUAUAAU